GUGUUGUUUGGAAGGAGAGAAGGUUAGCACUCCCUUGAUAAGGAUGGAAGAGGCUUUUGGGCCUGACAACACGUAUACAGUUAGGACAUUGCCACCUACUUUAAUUCUUUUUCUUU
rnacentral:ncRNA from 1 species